rnacentral:pre_miRNA from 1 species
UAGCUUGAAGUACUUGUUAAUGGGGGGUGGAAAAGGUAGUAGAAUACUAAUAACCACUCGUAGUGAAACAGUUGCGAAGAUAU